CAGUCGCCACGGUAAUACGUAGGUGGCAAGCGUUGUCCGGAAUUAUUGGGCGUAAAGCGCGCGCAGGCGGAUAGGUCAGUCUGUCUUAAAAGUUCGGGGCUUAACCCCGUGAUGGGAUGGAAACUGCCAAUCUAGAGUAUCGGAGAGGAAAGUGGAAUUCCUAGUGUAGCGGUGAAAUGCGUAGAUAUUAGGAAGAACACCAGUGGCGAAGGCGACUUUCUGGACGAAAACUGGCGCUGAGGCGCGAAAGCCAGGGGAGCGAACGGGAUUAGAUACCCCCGUAGUCCCUGUCUCUUAUACA
rnacentral:rRNA from 1 species